rfam:Spinacia oleracea cultivar SynViroflay scaffold92279.1, whole genome shotgun sequence.
AGCCUAUUAGCUCAACUGGUCGAGCACUUUGUAUUGGUACUUCAAACCAAUACAAAGAGGAUGUAGGUUCAAAUCCUACAUAGGCUA